UACGUAGGGUGCGAGCGUUGUCCGGAAUCAUUGGGCGUAAAGGGCGCGUAGGUGGCGGGACAAGCGUGCGGUGAAAGCUCGGGGCUCAACCCCGAGUCGGCCGUGCGAACUGUUUUGCUUGAGCACUGUAGAGGCAGGCGGAAUUCCGGGUGUAGCGGUGGAAUGCGUAGAGAUCCGGAAGAACACCGGUGGCGAAGGCGGCCUGCUGGGCAGUAGCUGACACUGAGGCGCGACAGCGUGGGGGAGCAAACAGG
rnacentral:rRNA from 1 species